rnacentral:rRNA from 1 species
AACGCUAGCGACAGGCCGUAACACAUGCAAGUCAGGGGCAGCACAAGGAGCAAUCUGAGGUGGCGACCGGCGCACGGGUGAGUAACACGUAUGCAACCUGCCUGUAAGCGGGGAAUAACCCGUUGAAAGACGGACUAAUACCGCAUAAUACUAAAUUACUGCAUGGUAAUUUAUUUAAACAUUUAUGGCUUACAGAUGGGCAUGCGCAUGAUUAGCUAGUUGGAGAGGUAACGGCUCCCCAAGGCAACGAUCAUUAGGGGUUCUGAGAGGAAGGUCCCCCACACUGGUACUGAGACACGGACCAGACUCCUACGGGAGGCAGCAGUGAGGAAUAUUGGUCAAUGGACGAGAGUCUGAACCAGCCAAGUCGCGUGCAGGAAGAAUGUCCUUAAUGGAUUGUAAACUGCUUUUGCAGGGGAAUAAAGUGCAUCACGUGUGAUGUUUUGUAUGUACUCUGCGAAUAAGGAUCGGCUAACUCCGUGCCAGCCGCAGC